AGGACAUCAGAGAGCAGAGGGGGCGACUUUGGCUUCUGACAUGGCCCACAUGAGGUGAAGCAGAACAAGGCAUCUGCCUCUACAUCGCCAGCAGAGAACAGAGUCCCAGGCUCCUCCUCCCUCUGGGCCCAGCCUGCCACCUGCCUGCGCAUUGGCAGUGGACACCACCUCUCUGGGACAUCAGAGCUUCUCUCUGCGGCCAGAGCUCAGGCCUUCCAGGCUCUGCCUCUCUCUAUGGCUAGUCUUGUCCCAUCCUUUGGAAACUUCUCUCAUCCCUGUGGCCAGAGGGUGCAGCGACCACAGAAACCUGACCACGUCACGCGCCGUCUAAGCCCUUCUGUGAGCCCUUGACCUCAGAGUGAUACUCCAGCUCCUCCCCACGGCUUAUGAGGACAACAUCCAGGAGGAGUUCAAGUCCCCACUUCCUGCUGGGAACCAGAGCCUGGUACACAGAAGGCACCCAAGUGUGCACCUGAGGCUUACUCAAGUAUACCAUACAGCUUGCCUCCUCCAGGAAGGCUUCCGUGAUGCCCUAGCUUGGUGAGUGUUCUCCUGGGCUCUUAACAGCCCUCUGCUCUCAUCUCCUGGGCAACCUCCUCCAAGGGUAGGAACUGGGUCUUGUUCACUGCUAUAUUUUCAAUGCCUAACCUGAAGAUUGGUAUUACAGUAGGUGCUUGAUUUAUAGAUUUUAUUAUAGUAUGUAAAUAUAUAAUGUAGUAUGUAUUAUACACUAUAGUAAGUAUAUAAAUAGUAAUAUAUAAAUACACACUAUAGUAAGUAUAUAAACAUAUAGUAUAUAAAUAUAGGUGCUAAAUUUAUAGAAUUCACCUGAGAAAUAGUAAUGACUUAGGUUGAAAAGCCCCACAGGACCAGUUUUGCCUGUUUUAGUUCAGGGCUCUUUCAUCCCUGCAAAAGUGCUACUAACAGGCACAGCUCCAUUUACACACCAAGCACUAGGC